CAAAAGUUGAACUUCAAAUCCCUUCUAACUAACUGACCGAUAUGUAAGGAUGCAUUAUUUGUUCACUGUUAGUUAUAAACUUGUCGAAACAAUAGAAACCACUUUGAAAUUACUCCAUUGUUGUGCUUCUCAAGUUUCCAUCUCAGCCACCGUCACGGUCCGUCGUGACCGCCGCACUGCCCAUCGUAUUCCGUUGUGGCCACCAUUGUUGUCGAAACUUUCCGUCGUGCCAUCGGUUCAGUCGCUUUAGUUUUGUGCUCACGAUCAGCCGCUAUACAGUCAUCAUCGUGUCGCACUCCACCGUUAGUCUUUGUUUCGUCGGGACUCCGUCGUCGCGCUACUCCAUCGCGACCAUCACCACAUCAUUCAGGCCACGUCCAUUGUUGUUGCUUGACUCGGUUCGUUCGAUCAUUCGAAGCUCUAGUCGUUGGUGUCCGGUUAGCUCCGUGUAGUGUUUAAGGUCCGCGUACUCGUUAAAGACAACUUGAUUUGCUUGCUAAUAAGUUUCUACACAAAUAAGAAUUUGAGAGCCAUUGAAAGUGAAUAAAGAAAAUAAGCAUAUCUGCUUCGGCGAGGAAGAGGCGACGCCCAGCUCCAGCGUGGGCAGAGGCAUCUGGCUAGGUGGAGACUGCAGAGCGACGUCCGGCGAGGUCAAUGGUGUCAUGCUGCUUCUGCAUGACUUACUGACUACGUCAACAAGUAAGUACAUGAGUAUAUAGAAUUUAAAUCUAGACUUUUUGAA